GACGAACGCUGGCGGCGUGCCUAACACAUGCAAGUCGAACGAAGCCUUGAUUGGAACACUUCGGUGGGAAAAGAGAGUGACUGAGUGGCGGACGGGUGAGUAACGCGUGAGCAACCUGCCCUUCAGCGUGGAAUAGCGUCUGGAAACGGACGGUAAUACCGCAUGACAUAUUGAUGCCGCAUGGUAUUGAUAUCAAAGAUUUAUCACUGAAGGAUGGGCUCGCGUUGGAUUAGAUAGUUGGUGGGGUAACGGCCUACCAAGUCAACGAUCCAUAGCCGGACUGAGAGGUUGAACGGCCACAUUGGGACUGAGACACGGCCCAGACUCCUACGGGAGGCAGCAGUGGGGAAUAUUGCACAAUGGGCGAAAGCCUGAUGCAGCAACGCCGCGUGAAGGAAGACGGUUUUCGGAUUGUAAACUUCUGUUCUUGGUGAAGAAGCAAGUGACGGUAGCCAAGGAGCAAGCCACGGCUAACUACGUGCCAGCAGCCGCAGUAAUAC
rnacentral:rRNA from 1 species